UACAGAGGGUGCAAGCGUUAAUCGGAAUUACUGGGCGUAAGCGUGCGUAGACGGUUACAUAAGUCGGGUGUGAAAGCCCCGGGCUCAACCUGGGAAUUGCAUUCGAGACUGCGUAGCUAGGGUGCGGAAGAGGGAAGCGGAAUUUCCGGUGUAGCGGUGAAAUGCGUAGAUAUCGGAAGGAACACCAGUGGCGAAAGCGGCUUCCUGGUCCAGCACCGACGUCAGGCACGAAAGCGUGGGGAGCAAACAGG
rnacentral:rRNA from 1 species